ACAACAACAUUCGGACCGUCGGUCUACCGAGCAAUAUCACCCGCUCGGUGGAAGAUCUUCCUUUCGUCGUAUACC
rnacentral:pre_miRNA from 1 species